UUGUGAGAUUUUUUGUGAAUUUUAAUGGCAUGAUUCAUGUGGUUACAUUUUGAUUUGGGAGCAACUCUUGAUUACCCUAUCUUGUUUCUCUAACCUGUUUGUUGAGUUUUUUUGUAAGGGCUCACAUGACUCUUGCAGAGAUGGCCUGGUGUUCCACUUUAUUUGUGGGAUACCACCUGGAGGUUUAUUCCGAUUACUUGUGCUUAAUGGCUUGAGAUAUUUGUUUGU
rnacentral:lncRNA from 1 species